AAGAGCGACCAUAUCAGCACUAAUGCACAGGAUUCCAUCAGAACUCUGAAGUUAAGCGCGCUUAGGCGAAAGUAGUUCUAAGAUGGGCUUGUCUUAUGACUUUCAUAUA
rnacentral:rRNA from 1 species